GACGAACGCUGGCGGCGUGCUUAACACAUGCAAGUCGAACGGAAAGGCCCUGCUUUUGUGGGGUGCUCUAGUGGCGAACGGGUGAGUAACACGUGAGUAACCUGCCCUUGACUUUGGGAUAACUUCAGGAAACUGGGGCUAAUACCGGAUAGGAUCUCCUGCUGCAUGGUGGGGGUUGGAAAGUUUCGGCGGUUGGGGAUGGACUCGCGGCUUAUCAGCCUGUUGGUGGGGUAGUGGCUUACCAAGGCUUUGACGGGUAGCCGGCCUGAGAGGGUGACCGGCCACAUUGGGACUGAGAUACGGCACAGACUCCUACGGGACGCAGCAGUGGGGAAUAUUGCACAAUGGGCGGAAGCCUGAUGCAGCAACGCCGCGUGCGGGAUGACGGCCUUCGGGUUGUAAACCGCUUUCGCCUGUGACGAAGCGUGAGUGACGGUAAUGGGUAAAGAAGCACCGGCUAACUACGUG
rnacentral:rRNA from 1 species